CAUCUAACAACUUUCAAUAUCCUGAAUUCAUUUCUUUUGGUCAUCUAUUUCCACAUAUAAUUCUGAAAUGCAGUGAAUUUUCCCUAGACCUUUAACUUUGGAAACUUGAUUUUAUGAGUUGGCCUGAAGACCAUAUGUUCUAGAAAUGAUAACUGGUCUACAUGUUAAGAUUACACGACAUCAUCAGAUAAAUUUGUAAGCCAACCAAUACAGAUGUUUAUAGCUCUAUGUGGAUAUUUUAAUAAAAUGGAAAACCUUGAUUAAGUUUAUCUUGAGUUAUACAUAACUUAUACUAAGGUUGUCUUGAUUAUAAGAACAGAAUAAAAAUUUAUGAAGUAUGCUUUAAAAGCAUACACAAUUUCACUAUGCCAACAUAAAUAUUUUCACUUCUUGUUUUCUUAUCAAUUCGUACAUAAGCAUAUCUUAAAGUUUAAAUGUUUCUUUCUCUCUUAAAUAUUGCAUUAUUAAUAUUAUAUAAUUGUUCAUAUUACUACCUAUUCUUUAUGAAUAUAAUUUUAAUGGGACAAAUUAACAUUUUGAUGUGUUAAAGGACACUUAAUGAUAUCCCUGGCAUGCAAAUUUUUUCAGGUAUUCUAUCAUUACACUUAUGUUUAUACAUAAAAUUUAAUUUUUUUGAAUUCUUUAAUUCAGAAAUGUUCUUGCAAGUAAGAUCUUUAGGUUAAAUUAUGAAAUUUUUAAUUUAAAUGAAUUGAUAUGCAUUGGAAGUUAAGGUUUAAAAAGUAAUUCUCUUUCAAUUUUUUCCCAUAACUUAGAAAGAUGGCUCAGUGAGAAAAGUAUUUAGUGAAAAUUACAUAAUUUAGCAUGUGACUAAUUGUUUUGCUUUUGCUAUUUAUUUUAUUCCUCACAAUAUAAUUGGCUACAUAUUUUCUGGACAAUGUUAAUGGUUAGUCACCUUUUUUUUGUCUUUUUGACUUUUCUAGGGCUGCUCCCACACCAUAUGAAGGUUCCCAGGCUAGGGGUCGAAUCGGAGCUGUAGCUGUUGGCCUACGCCAGAGCCACAGCAAUGAGGGAUCUGAGCCGCAUCUGCAACCUACACCACAGUUCACGGCAACGCUGGAUGCUUAACCUACUGAGCAAGGUGAGGGACUGAACCCGCAACCUCAUGGUUCCUAGUCGGAUUCGUUAACCACUGAGCCACGACGGGAACUCCAAUGGUUAUUACUAUAGUAAAAAAAUAAAAUAUAGGACCAAAUUUAAAAGUUAAUGCUUCAAUUAUUUCUUUAAAUUCACAUGUUUCUCUGGACUUGGGGAAAACACUUCAAGAAUCACCCCAUAACUUGCAAAGAGAAAAUCACCUUCACCAAGAAAAUGGAUUAAAUUUUAAAAUUGUUUUCAAUACCAAUGUCUACAUCACAUAUUUUUAAAAAUGUUUAUUUGUAGGUUUGAUACAUGCAAUAAGUACAAACAUACAAUUGAAACAAGAAAAAUUUAGAAGAAAAUUUUAGAUGGUGGAAUUUAUGUUAUAAGAAAAUAUAUAUUUAGAGAUUAAUGUUAUAACUGAUUGAGGUAACUGAAACAUUGGAUAAGAUCUUUAAAUCCAGAACAACUGUAAAUUCAUUGAUGAGUUACCAUGAAUAUAAAGACAUUAAAGUGAUCAAAAAAUUGGAAUCUAGGUACUUAGGAAGUAAGCAAGUACCAAUGCCAGCAUUCUCACUGAGUGUUUCUACAAAAUUUAAGAUCUUGAGCCACAGUUAUGACACCAUAUAAAUAAGAGAAUACAGGAACUGCAACAGGAUGCACCCAAGGUGUGGAAACUAACAAGAAAUUUCCAGUAGAGCUGGAACAUAUGGGCUAAAACAAACAAGGGAAGACAAGAAAUGCAACAUACCGUUCCCAACCUUUCUCCAACUGCCUCACCUAAAGAUGCUGACAGACUAUUGAAUAUUGUCAACAUCUGUCUUGACAAUGCAUGAAGCAGAAAAGAAAAACUAUAGGUAUCAUUUUAAACUUUAAUCUAGUGAACUGACAAGUGCUUAAGCACCAAAACAUAAAAACAACUCAUACAACUUAACAACAAAAAACAAGUAACCCAAUCAAAAAAUGGGCAGAAGACCUAAAUAGACAUUUCUCCAAAGAUAUAUGAAUGGCCAGAAGGCACAUGAAAAAAGGCUCAAUAUCACUAAUUAUUAGAAGAAAAUGCAAAUCAAAACUACAAUGAGGUUCCACCUCACAUGAGUCAGAUCAGCCAUCAUUAAUAAGUCAACAAAUAACAAAUGCUUAGAGAGUGUGGAGAAAAAGGGAACUCUACCGCACUGUUGCUGGGAAUGUAAAUUGAUACAACCACUAUGGAAAACAGUAUGGAGGUACCUCAGGAAACUCAAAAUAGAACUACCAUGUGAUCUAACAAUCCCACUCCUGGACGUAUAUCUGGACAAGACAUUCAUUCAAAAAGAUACAUGCACCCCUAUGUUCACUGCAGCAGUAUUCACAACAGGCAAGACAUGAAAAUAACCUGAAUUUUCAUCGACAGAAAAAUAGAGUAGAAAUAUGUGGUACAUAUAUAUAAUGGAAUACUACUUAGCCAUUAAAAAAGAACAAAAUAAUGCCAUUUGCAGCAACUUAGACGCAACUGGAGAUUAUCAUAUGUGAAAUAAGUGAGAAAGGGAAAGACAAAUACCAUAUGAUAUUAUUUAUAUGUGGAAUCUAAAAUUUGGCACAAAUGAACCUGUCUACAAAGCAGAAAUAGACUUACAGACUUGAAGUUGCCAAAAGGGGGUGUGAGGGAGUGGGACAGACUGGAAUUUGGGGGUUAGUAGAUGCAAACUAGUACAUUUAGAAUGGAUAAGCAACAAGGUCCUACUAUAUAGCACAAGGAACUAUAUCCAAUUGUGGGACAGACCGUGAUAGAAGACAAUAUAAAAAAAGUAAUGCAUUAUAUAUUUAUGACUGUAUCACCUGCCAUACAGCAAUAAAUGACACAACAUUGAAAAUCAACUUAUUUUAAUAAAAAAUAAAUAUAUAUAUUAAAAAAUGAAGCUUUAAUCUCAAAAAAAAUCAAAAUUCACUUUAUACAGCAUGUUCCAAAACUAAGUUAUUUGAAGGAACUUAAUAUAAAAGUGUCUCAAGUUGGCAGACAGAAGCAAACACCACUUGAACUCAACCUCAACUCAGGAUAUAAAGAAGCCCCAUAAGUGAGGUGCAAAAGAAAAUUAGUUAUAAUAGGAAACAAAUCAACAGAGAAAGACAAACACAUUCUUUUUUUUUCUUUUUCGGCUGCACCAGUGACAUAUGGAAUUUCCCAUGCCAGGGACGAAUAUUAGCUGUAACUGUGACCUGCACCACAGCUGCAGCAACGCCAGAUCUUUAACCCACUGUACCACAAUGAGAACGCCCAAAAAACAGUUUCAUACACACACACAAGCACACAAAUAGAGAAGACAGCAUGCAUAAAAAUUAACACAGAUUACAGCAGAAAGACACACAAAGAUUUCAGCUACUGCAAUUAUUGGAAACAAAUGUAAUAAAAAUAGAGUUUUUUAAUUAGGGAAAUAAAAGAAAAAUUUGCAAAAAUUAACUAAAUGCAAUUUCUAUAUCUUUCAAUUAUAACUAGAUAUUUUAAUUGAUAGAUGAAAUAGUAGUUUAUAUAUAACUCAUGAAAGAGUAAGUGAACUGGAAAAAUGACCCAAAGAAAUUCUAUUUCUGCCUAUACAUGCCCACAUUACAUUGAAGAAAUAGUGAAAAGUCUUGACGUACAUCUAAUCAGAGUUCUGAAUGGCAAUAAGAAGGUGCUAUUGAAAGAGCUGAAUAUUUUCCAGAAAUUUUGAAAGAUAUUAAUCAUAUCUGGGAGUCAUCCAUUCCCAAUGAGAAUAAUUAAUGAGAAAUCCAUGUCCAGACAUACCACCAUAAAAUAGCAGAAAAGCAGAGGCAAAGAACAUUUAAAAAAGCCAAUAAGAUGGAAUAUAUUUUAGAAAAUGCAUAUAUGUAUGACUGAGUCACUCUGCUCUACAGCAGAAAAAGGCACAACAUUGUAAAUCAACUAUACUUUGAUAAUUUUUUAAAUAGCCAAUAAGAAAACAUAAAGCAGUUUCAAAGAGAAAGUAAUUAAACUGUCCAGUGAACUGUCAAUAGGAACAACAGAAGGUAUAAAAUAUUGAAGAAAUAUCCUUAAUGAGAGGAGAUAAAUAACUGCUAACCAAUAAUCUUUACUUAACGAAAUUAUCUGUGUGAAUGAUUUAAUUAUAAAGAUAUUUUCAGGAAAACUAGAGUUUCAUCACACAAAUAUACUCACUAAAGUAAUCUUUAGGAAGUAUUUUUUUGGACUUCCCCCUUGGCACAACAAGUUAAGAAUCCAACAUUGUGUUCUUGCAGCUGCAAACAGAAUUCUAUCCCUGGCCUGGGAACUUCCAUGUCGCAUAUCCCCUCAAAAAAAUUAUUUUUUAGGAAGAGAAAAAUUGGCCAUAAGUUAAGGUAUUAAAUGCAAGAAGAAAUCUUAAGGUAGACAGCAAAAUGUAUGUAAAUAAAUUAAACAAUAAUUUGUUUUAUGAAGUAAUACUCAUAUUUAGUUUGGAGGGGCAGGUUAGAUCUUAAAUCCUAGACAGCAAUAACAGACAGUGUAGAUGGGGCCAAGAUGAGGGUUAAAGGGCAAAGUUAAAUGUCUCUAAUACCCUUUUAUAAUUUGAGAUGAAGAAAAGGUAUUAGUUACAUUUGGAUGUAAUAAGUAAAUCAAGGCAU
rnacentral:lncRNA from 1 species